GCUGAAGUAGGGGAAUGGCUUGACCCCAGGAGGUGGAGGUUAUAGUGAGUCGAGGUUGCACCACUGCCCUCCAGCCUAGGUGACAGAGUGAGACUGUCUCAAAAAAAAAAGAAAGAAAAUAUACAUUCCAUCCAGAACUGUUCACCUUUAUUCUACAAGCAAACAUCUUUUAUUGGUUAGACACCCAUAUAUGUGUCCCUAAGCAGGAGGUGAAUGCCAAAUAAGAGACAAAUGGCGUAAGACACUAUGAGUUGUGUGACGUUGGGCAUGUCACUUUACUCCCUCUGAGCCUUGGUUAGCUUCUCUGUAAAAUGAAAGGAUUAUGGUAACUAAGCUGGCUUCCUUCCAGCUUUAACAAACUGUAUGGAGGUACUUUUUGGAGUUACCUGGGUAAUUUUUGAGUGUGAGAUUGGCUAGAAUUGCUUUAAUAUACCAUGUCUGGCCUUAGCUUUUUGCAGAGUCUUUGUGAAGAAGCAGAGGCGGAGUAGCGUUAAUUCCGUAAGUUAACGUUCAGUUCGUGGCAGCUGGCAAUCCAACCCUGGGAAAGGCUGCCGGAUUUAGCAAAAAUGCAAGGUGUCUGUUUUUAAAUUUGAAAUGAAUUGGGUAUCCUGCAUUUUAUUUGGCAACCCUGUCCUGGGACUCACACUAUUCACUGUUAUCACUGGUAUGUUCAAAGUGGUGCUGACUUGCCCUCUGUCUUGCAAAGUACCAGGAGGUCUUUUCUUAUUCUUCACUGGAGUCAAAAAAGAGAAUAGAGGAAAAGACAAUCAUAUUGUUCCUUUAAGAGUUAAGACCAACAAGUUUUCUUCUUUACAUGUUGUUUUUGACAUGAGCAAACUGGUGAUUAAAAACAACUUGGGUGGCUCAUACUUGUAAUCCCAGCACCUUGGGAAGCUGAGGUGGGAGAAUAGCUUGAGGCCAGGAGUUCAAGCCAGGGCAACAUAGUGAGACCCCAUCUCUACAAAAGAUACAAAAAUUAGCCAGGCGUGGUGGUACACCUGUAGUCCCAGCUGCUCUGGAGGCUGAGAUGGGAGGAUCAGUUGAGCUUGGGAGGCAGAAGUUGCAGUGAGCUGAGAUCAUGCCACUGCACUCCAGCCUGGACAACAGAGCAAGACCCUGUCUCAAAAAAGGAAACAAAACAACUUGGACAAUGGAAGGGGGAAAAAGUUCCUCAAGCAGCCAAAAUUGCACCAAAUGGACUCCCAGAAGACAAGCAUUUAAUUUGUUAAUUGAGCCCUCUAUGGGCCUGUCUGUAUUUAUUUAAGAAACAAUCCUAUCAAGCAUAGUUAUUGGGUUUCUCAGCCCAGGUAGAUUAGAAAUAGCAGAUUAGAGGUGGGCUAGGUUUCUAGAGGUAAAGUACACCAGCAGAAGUUAGAAGUGAAAGCAAAGAGCCUAACAGAGGAAGAGAAAUUCUUUUUUUUUUCUUUUUUUAGACGCAGUUUUGCUCUUGUUGCCCAGGCUACAGAAUUAAGCUGGUCCAGGAAUGACAGGGCUUCCAUUUAUUUGUCUUUCAAUUGUGGGAGAAAAAGGAUUUCUGUUGAGAUACUGUCGUUUUGACACACAAUAUUUCGAUUAAUCUUGAGAUUAAAAAUCCUGUGCUCCAAAUCUUUUAACAUUAAAUUAUGCAUUUAAACAGGUUUGCUCCUAAAUCUUAAAAUAUGGAAAGCAC
rnacentral:lncRNA from 10 species